rnacentral:lncRNA from 1 species
AUCGUUGUCCUUCUCUGCACUGAAUUUCUUCAAGUAGUUAAAGAAUGAGCAAGUUGAUUGUGGCUGGAGAGAUAGUAAAUGGUUUGGACAGUUUCUCUUGCUUCUUUCUCAUGUGAUAGUCACUCACUGCAUCUACAAGUCUUCCAUAGGGUUUGAACCCGAAAAUCUGAGCCAUAUCCAGCAAGGUUGAAGCAAUUGGGCCUACACGAAAGUGAGACGUGUUGCUGCAGAAUUCUAGAAGCAGAAAGCAGCAGCCAGAAGAUUCUCAUCCCUGUUUAUCAACUGCUUGGACAGGAGUAUGGCGUCAUAUACGCCAGGCCUCUUCCAAUGAGCUCCAUACCUUGGGAUGAGUCUGUCAAUCCAGUCUGCCUACUUGAUUGGACUGUUCCUCACUUCAUUCGAAGGAAACAAACGGCUUAGGUUCUUGCUAACCCAAGAAUGGGAUGCCAAGGCAGAAGAGCUUUGAAAACAAAGGGGAGCUUCGCGUCAUCUUUGAACAACUCUGUCAUUUCAGCAGGUACAGGACCAAACCAGUAAGGGCCUAGCACCAAGGUGUUUUUGAAAAGGUGAAGGACAUUUUCGUCCAGGUUCUUUUGGGCAAAAGAAUGGAGCUUGCUCCGAACCUCAAUGGCGUG